rnacentral:rRNA from 1 species
AGUCGACGAUGACCACUUCGGUGGGGAUUAGUGGCGAACGGGUGAGUAACACGUGGGCAAUCUGCCCUUCACUCUGGGACAAGCCCUGGAAACGGGGUCUAAUACCGGAUAACACUGCGGAUCGCAUGGUCUGYGGUUAAAAGCUCCGGCGGUGAAGGAUGAGCCCGCGGCCUAUCAGCUUGUUGGUGAGGUAGUGGCUCACCAAGGCGACGACGGGUAGCCGGCCUGAGAGGGCGACCGGCCACACUGGGACUGAGACACGGCCCAGACUCCUACGGGAGGCAGCAGUGGGGAAUAUUGCACAAUGGGCGAAAGCCUGAUGCAGCGACGCCGCGUGAGGGAUGACGGCCUUCGGGUUGUAAACCUCUUUCAGCAGGGAAGAAGCGAAAGUGACGGUACCUGCAGAAGAAGCGCCGGCUAACUACGUGCCAGCAGCCGCGGUAAUACGUAGGGCGCAAGCGUUGUCCGGAAUUAUUGGGCGUAAAGAGCUCGUAGGCGGCUUGUCACGUCGAUUGUGAAAGCCCGAGGCUUAACCUCGGGUCUGCAGUCGAUACGGGCUAGCUAGAGUGUGGUAGGGGAGAUCGGAAUUCCUGGUGUAGCGGUGAAAUGCGCAGAUAUCACGAGGAACACCGGUGGCGAAGGCGGAUCUCUGGGCCAUUACUGACGCUGAGGAGCGAAAGCGUGGGGAGCGAACAGGAUUAGAUACCCUGGUAGUCCACGCCGUAAACGGUGGGAACUAGGUGUUGGCGACAUUCCACGUCGUCGUGCCGCAGCUACGCAUUAAGUUCCCCGCCUGGGGGA